rnacentral:rRNA from 1 species
UACGGAGGGGGCAAGCGUUGUUCGGAAUCAUUGGGCGUAAAGGGCGCGUAGGCGGCCGUCCAAGUCGGGUGUGAAAUCCCUCGGCUCAACCGAGGAACUGCACUCGAUACUGGUUGGCUAGAGUCCGGGAGGGGAUGGUGGAAUUCCCAGUGUAGCGGUGAAAUGCGUAGAUAUUGGGAAGAACACCGGUGGCGAAGGCGGCCAUCUGGACCGGAACUGACGCUGAGGCGCGAAAGCCAGGGGAGCGGAAUGGG